GACGAAGGUGGCAAGCGUUGCUCGGAAUCACUGGGCAUAAAGCGCGCGUAGGUGGCUUGAUAAGUCGGUGGUGAAAUCCCAUGGCUCAACCAUGGAACUGCCGUCGAUACUGUCAGGCUUGAGGGCGGUAGGGGAGAGUGGAACUCCUGGUGUAGCGGUGAAAUGCGUAGAUAUCAGGAGGAACGCCGGUGGCGAAAGCGACUCUCUGGGCCGUUCCUGACACUGAUGCGCGAGAGCUAGGGGAGCAAACAGG
rnacentral:rRNA from 1 species